UACGUAGGGUGCAAGCGUUGUCCGGAAUUAUUGGGCGUAAAGAGCUCGUAGGCGGUUUGUCGCGUCGGCUGUGAAAACUCGGGGCUCAACCCCGAGCCUGCAGUCGAUACGGGCAAACUUGAGUGCGGUAGGGGAGACUGGAAUUCCUGGUGUAGCGGUGAAAUGCGCAGAUAUCAGGAGGAACACCGGCGGCGAAGGCGGGUCUCUGGUCUGUAACUGACGCUGAGGCGCGAAAGCGUGGGGAGCAAACAGG
rnacentral:rRNA from 1 species